rnacentral:rRNA from 1 species
AGAGUUUGAUCCUGGCUCAGAUUGAACGCUGGCGGCAUGGCUAAAACAUGCAAGUCGAACGAUGAAAGCACCUUCGGGUGUGCAUGAAGUGGCGAAAGGGCGAGGAAUACGUUCCUACGUACCCCAAGGUCAGGGAUAGCCCCGGGAAACUGGGAGUAAUACCUGAUGACAUCUCCGGAUCAAAGGCUUCGGCCACCUUGGGAGCGGGGAACGCCCUAUCAGGUUGUUGGUGAGGUAACGGCUCACCAAGCCUAAGACGGGUAGCGGGUGUGAGAGCAUGACCCGCCGCAUCGGGACUGAGACACUGCCCGGACUCCUACGGGAGGCUGCAGUAACGAAUAUUCCGCAAUGCGCGAAAGCGUGACGGAGCAAUGCCGCGUGUGGGAUGAAUCUCUUCGGAGUGUAAACCACUGUCAGAGUUUAGGAACUCAAUGACCAGACUCAAAGGAAGGACCGGCUAACUUCGUGCCAGCAGCCGCGGUAAUACGAAGGGUCCGAGCGUUAAUCGGAAUCACUGGGCUUAAAGCGUGCGUAGGCGGACUUGAAGGCACCUUGUGAAAUCCCUCGGCUCAACCGAGGAACUGCAGGGUGAACCAUGAGUCUCGAGACAGGUAGAGGUUGUCGGAACGAUAGGUGGAGUGGUGAAAUGCGUUGAUAUCUAUCGGAACGCCAAUGGAGAAGUCAGGCAACUGGGCCUGUUCUGACGCUGAGGCACGAAAGCGUGGGUAGCGAACGGGAUUAGAUACCCCGGUAGUCCACGCCCUAAACGAUGUCCGUUAGCUCUUUGGAGUAUCGACCCUCUGAGGGGCAAAGCUAACGCGUUAAAAGGACCGCCUGGGUAGUACGGCCGCAAGGCUAAAACUCAAAGGAAUAGACGGGGGCUCGCACAAGCGGUGGAUCAUGUGGCUUAAUUCGUCGAUAAACGAAGAACCUUACCAGGAUUUGAAAUCAAACUGAAAGUUCCGUGAAAGCGGAACCCUCUUCGGACAGUUUGGCAGGUGUUGCAUGGCCGUCGUCAGUUCGUGAUUUGAAUUGUUCCCUUAAGUGGGGUAACGAACGCAACCCUCAUUGCCUGUUAUAUGUGUCAGGCGAGACUGCCUCCGACAGGAGGAGGAAGGUGGGGAUGACGCCAGGUCAGCAUGACCCUUGAUACCCUGGGAUGCACACGUGAUACAAUGGCUGCCACAACAGGUUGCGACGGAGUAAUCCUGAGCUAAUCCUUAGAAAAGCAGCCCCAGU